rnacentral:rRNA from 1 species
UACGGAGGAUUCGAGCGUUAUCCGGAAUCAUUGGGUUUAAAGGGUCCGUAGGCGGGAUUAUAAGUCAGUGGUGAAAUUUUCCGGCUCAACCGGAGGACUGCCAUUGAUACUGUAGUUCUUGAAUGACUUUGAAGUGGUUAGAAUAUGUAGUGUAGCGGUGAAAUGCAUAGAUAUUACAUAGAAUACCGAUUGCGAAGGCAGAUCACUAAGAGUACAUUGACGCUAAGGGACGAAAGCGUGGGUAGCGAACAGG